ACCGGCGCAAGGGUGCGUAACGCGUGAGCAACAUGCCCGUAUCAGGGGAAUAAUCCAGGGAAACUUGGUCUAAUACCCCAUAGUAAAUAUUAAAGGCAUCUUUAAUAUUUUAAAGCUUUGGUGGAUACGGAUUGGCUCGCGUGACAUUAGCUAGAUGGUAAGGUAACGGCUUACCAUGGCUACGAUGUCUAGGGGUUCUGAGAGGAAGAUCCCCCACACUGGAACUGAGACACGGUCCAGACUCCUACGGGAGGCAGCAGUGAGGAAUAUUGGACAAUGGAUGGAAAUCUGAUCCAGCCAUGCCGCGUGCAGGAAGACGGCCCUAUGGGUUGUAAACUGCUUUUAUAUGGGAGCAAUAAGACCUACGUGUAGGUUGAUGAGAGUACCAUAUGAAUAAGCACCGGCUAACUCCGUGCCAGCAGCCGCGGUAAUACGGAGGGUGCAAGCGUUAUCCGGAUUUAUUGGGUUUAAAGGGUGCGUAGGCGGUUUGAUAAGUCAGCGGUGAAAUAUUUCAGCUUAACUGGAAGGGUGCCGUUGAUACUGUCAGGCUUGAAUUUAGUUGCUGUGGGUGGAAUGUGUGGUGUAGCGGUGAAAUGCAUAGAUAUCACACAGAAUAUCGAUUGCGAAGGCAGCUCACAAAGCUAAUAUUGACGCUGAUGCACGAAAGUGUGGG
rnacentral:rRNA from 1 species